AUGAAGGUUGAAGAAGCAUUGGAAGAUCCGGAUUGGAUAAACGCUAUGCAUGAAGAGCUACAUAAUUUUGAGAGAAACCAAGUUUGGACAUUGGUCGAGAAGCCCGACAACAACCACAACAUCAUUGGUACCAAAUGGGUGUUUCGCAACAAGCAAGAUGAAGAUGGACAAGUGGUUCGCAACAAGGCACGUCUCGUCGCUCAAGGGUACACACAAGUCGAAGGUAUGGACUAUGGUGAGACAUAUGCCCUCGUUGCUAGACUUGAGUCCAUUCGCAUCUUACUUGCCUAUGCUAAUCACCAUAAUAUCACCUUGUACCAAAUGGACAUUAAAAGUGCUUUUCUAAAUGGUGAAAUAGAGGAGGAAGUUUAUGUCAAACAACCUCCCGGCUUUAUCAAUCCUAAGAAACCAAAUCAUGUUUACAAACUUCACAAAGCUCUUUAUGGUCUUAAACAAGCUCCUAGAGCAUGGUAUAAAUGCUUGACCAAGUUCCUUACUACAAGUGGUUUUGAAAUUGGCAAAAUUGAUUCUACUAUUUUUACUAAAAGGGUUAAUGGAGAACUAUUUGUAUGCCAAAUUUAUGUUGAUGAUAUCAUAUUUGGUUCAACUAACCCUCUCUUUAGUGAAAAGUUUGGAAAGCUAAUGUCAGAGAAGUUUGAGAUGUCUAUGAUGAGUGAACUCAAAUUCUUUCUCGGGUUGCAAAUCAAGCAAACUAAGGAAGGUACAUUUGUCUCUCAAACAAAGUACACCAAGGACUUGUUCAAGAAGUUCAAUAUACAAGAAUGCAAAGGUAUGUCUACACCCAUGCCUACUAGUGGACAUAAUGAUUUAACCAAAGAUGGUGAACCGGUUGAUCAAAAGGUUUAUCGCUCUAUGAUUGGUUCAUUGUUAUACCUAUGUGCUUCAUGUCCCGAUAUUAUGCUAAGUGUGUGCAUGUGUGCACGAUAUCAAGCUGCUCCUAAAGAUUGUCAUCUUAAGGCUGUGAAAAGGAUAGUGAGAUACUUAAUCCAUACACCAAAUUUUGGCAUUUGGUAUCCUAAGAGGUCUUCUUUUGAUCUUGUUGGCUAUUCCGACUCGGAUUAUGCCGGAGACAAGGUUGAUAGAAAGUCCACUUCGGGUACUUGUCAAUUUCUUGGUAGAUCUCUUGUGUCUUGGUCUUCCAAGAAACAAAACUCGGUAUCCUUAUCCACCGCAGAAGCGGAAUACAUUGCCGCUGGUUCAUGUUGUGCUCAAUUACUUUGGAUGACCCAAACUCUUAAAGAUUAUGGAAUUUAUGUGAAACAUGUUCCACUGCUUUGUGACAAUGAAAGUGCUAUAAAAAUUGGUCAUAAUCCUGUACAACAUUCUCGAACUAAGCAUAUUGAAGUUCGUCAUCAUUUCAUUCGAGAUCAUGUUGCUAAGGGUGACAUUAAUCUUAAGCAUGUUCGCACCGAUAAGCAAUUAGCGGAUAUAUUUACUAAACCUCUUGAUGAGAAAGUGUUUUGCAGGUUGAGAGGAGAAUUAAACAUCAUUGAUGCUUCGAACUUGGAGUAG
rnacentral:rRNA from 1 species